GACAGAGGGGGCAAGCGUUGCUCGGAAUUACUGGGCGUAAAGGGCGCGUAGGCGGGAUGGCAAGUCGGUCGUGAAAUCCCUCGGCUCAACCGAGGAACGUCGAUCGAUACUGCUGUUCUUGAGGAUUGCAGAGGAGACUGGAAUUCCCGGUGUAGCGGUGAAAUGUGUAGAGAUCGGGAGGAACACCGGUGGCGAAGGCGGCUUCCUGGACCGACACUGACGCUGAGGCGCGAAAGCUAGGGGAGCAAACGGG
rnacentral:rRNA from 1 species